rnacentral:rRNA from 1 species
AGUGAACGCUGGCGGUAGGCCUAACACAUGCAAGUCGAACGGCAGCACAGUAAGAGCUUGCUCUUACGGGUGGCGAGUGGCGGACGGGUGAGGAAUACAUCGGAAUCUACUUUUUCGUGGGGGAUAACGUAGGGAAACUUACGCUAAUACCGCAUACGACCUACGGGUGAAAGCAGGGGAUCUUCGGACCUUGCGCGAUUGAAUGAGCCGAUGUCGGAUUAGCUAGUUGGCGGGGUAAAGGCCCACCAAGGCGACGAUCCGUAGCUGGUCUGAGAGGAUGAGCAGCCACACUGGAACUGAGACACGGUCCAGACUCCUACGGGAGGCAGCAGUGGGGAAUAUUGGACAAUGGGCGCAAGCCUGAUCCAGCAAUACCGCGUGGGUGAAGAAGGCCUUCGGGUUGUAAAGCCCUUUUGUUGGGAAAGAAAAGCAGCAGGUUAAUACCCCGCUGUUCUGACGGUACCCAAAGAAUAAGCACCGGCUAACUUCGUG